CAAUGGGGACUCUUAAUUACUGCCUUGAAUUACCACAAGUGUUGUGAAAGCAGAAGGGACUAGGGAGCAUGCAGAGCAGGUUAUGGACUAUAUGUCAAGUUUAAACAAGCAACAAGCCCCUCUGCAAAUAGGAACAGGUUUAGCCCUAAGUAAUAGAUGAAGGUAGCUGUGAGUAACGUGAAGCGAAGCGGUGACGUCAGUCACCCUGAAAGCCUCGGAGAAGUGGUCCAAACACCUGAUACCCUUGCGGCCUCGGCAGUCUUUUUGGUUUCUUUGGCAGGGUAGCCCACCAAAGGGGGACAUCUUGAAGAGAAGCGGCAAGAGCUCGGGAUCUGGUGGUUCGUUUUGGUCGUCGCCUGUGAGGCCAGCGUCCGAGCGUAAGAGGAAGCUAGGAGCUGUCUCGAAGGUUUGAAACGGAGACAGGCAAAUCGAGGGCUAUCGUUCUUCCACAUAGUUAAAGACUGAGAGAGUUGUCGGUUAAGCGUGCGUCUACAAGGGUUUGAGAACAAUAACAGUAAUACUGAAGCAGAAUAAAAAUAAGGUUUUGUGGAAGAUGGCGUUAGGUAGGUAUUAGGCGACGUGCCCGCCUGCCUAAUAACCUAGCCCUAAUUGCUGUGUGUAACGUUUCCAGACUGUUUACCCUGUAACGUAUGAUGCAAAGUGCCGUAUGAAGACCUUUCCCUUAAGGAAAAGAAGAAGUAAAAAAAGAAAAAAAAAGGGAGAAAAGAAAACAGGGUAAAGAGAAAAAAAACRUGCAUAAUUCUGUGUGUUUCAGUGAAAGUAAAACGCGAGUUUAUCGCUUUCUUACAGAGAUGGAACCAAGGACAGCAAAUGCUGUCGAAGAGAAGAGACAGACAAGCGUUUUCUUGCGGUUAAUACCGAAGGGACGGGAUGAAACAAGGAAGCCAAAAUGCAGCGGCCGCUCGAUAUCACCAGAAACUGCUACAGGAGGAGGCGUUCUGGCAUGGGUAACUAAGGCGCUGGCUGGCAAAGUCGUCGUGUCCCAACGGAGACUCUUAGGCAGGACGGGAGGAGUUCGGAUCCACAGUCUGUCAGAAGAAAGUCGCCCGGGAGGGGUUGCUAGCCUUGAGCUACAGGCGCUGGUGCCGAAGCCCAGUCGGGCAGUCGAAGGAGCCUUGUCGCAGCUGGGAGCUCUGCGGAGAUGCGCGGCCGGCCGUGGAGGAUGAGCUCUGACUUGCAGCGUGGACACAGCUAAGUCCUGGGCCGCAUCGUACGCGAGCGGGGCUGGGAGGUGCAAGGCGGUUGUCCCCUAGGUGUGGUCACUGGCACCACUGGCCGUGGCCGUUUGCCCACAGAGCUGAGGGGACCAAACAUACUAAUUGCCUGACCUGGAGAUGAAUUAGUGCUUGCAGGCUUUCAGGUAGGUCCAGUGCAAGUGCAGCUUAGUGCAGUCCCAUGGAGUGACGCUUGCACAUGCUCACAUUUGAAUGRUGGCUAAAACCAAGCCUCUGAACAGCAACUGUAACACGAUUCUGGUGUGUGUCUUCCCGUUCUGCUGUACUUCUAAAGGAAGGGGAAACUUCCUAAGCUGUGGGCAGAACUCCUUGGCUUCUCCUGACUGUUUCCAUGCUCUGGAAACAGCUUUGGGUGCUUUGGUGCUUGUUGCUUAAAGCUGAGGGUUUGGAGUUUUUCACUUA
rnacentral:lncRNA from 1 species